CACACACACACACACACACACACACACACACACACACACACGCUAAUAAAUUAAGGGCUGGCAAGAGACUUAUCAGAUAAAUACAGUUGCUAACAAACCUGAUAGCAAUAGUUACCAAGCAACAGCCUGUUUGGUUCCCUCUGACCUCCCUUCCUCUUUUCCUUCCUCCCUCCCUGCCUCCCUGCCUCUCUCCCUCCCUCCCUUCCUCUUUCCCUUUCUCCUUCCUUCUCCUCUGGCCUCUUUCUGUUCUCUCUCUGUCUUCCCUCUCCACCUGUUCCAGGCCAGUCUCCUCUUUCUCCCCCUUGUCUCCCUCUGUACCUCCCUCCCUCCUUCCCUCUCUUCCCUCUCUCUCUCUCUCUCUUCCUUUCUCCCUCCCCCCUUUUCUCUUUCCCCCUUUUCUCCCUACCCCCCCUUCUCCAUAUGUUCCUGCCUGGCCUCAUCUUGCCUCUUCUCGCCCCCCCCCCCCCGUUUCUACUCCCUUCUUACUUUCUUUUUUCAUUUAUUCAUUUGUUCAUCCAUUUAUUUAUUUAUUUAUUUAUUAUUUAUUUAUUUGAUGACAUGAACUUAUUAUGUACACCAAGCUCGCCUUAAUUUACAGAGAUCCACCUGAUUCUGCGUCCUAAGUGCUGGAAUUAAAGGUGCAGAAAUUUAGUCCAUCAAGGCAGGAACAUGGCAACAUCCAGGCAGACAUGGUGCAGAAGGAGCUGAGAGUUCUACAUCUUCAUCUGAAGGCCACUAGGAGAAGACUGACUUCCAGGCAUCUAGGAUAAGGGUCUUAAAGCCCAUACCCACAGUGACACACCUACAUAGGCCAUAACCACUCCAACAAGGGCAAAUCUACUUCAACAGGGCCACACCUUCUAAUAGUGCCACUCCCUGGGCCAAGCCUAUACAAAUCAUUGUAUCCUGUUUCUGCUUUCUCAGCACUGAGAUUACGAAUGUUCACCCCCACAGUGGGUGCUUGACAUGGCACAGAGGACCAUACUUAGGUCCUUAUGUUUGUAUGGCAAGAAUUCUCCCCAAAGAAGCAUUUCCCAGCUCUUCAUUUUUCCUAACGGACCCAUUAAUUGGUCUUGCCAAGUGUAUUUUUUUUCCAUCUGAGUAAUCUGAACUGUAUAAAAACCUUUUGUUAGCCCAGCAGCAUAUGCUUAAAGCUCAGCACUUGGGAAGUAGAAGCAGGCAGAUCUCUGUGAGGUUCUGAGGCCAUCCAGGUCUACAUAGUGAGUUCUAGGACAGGCGAGGCUAUAAAGUGAGACUCUGUAUCAAAAGCAAAACAAAACAAAAUGGAAUGAAACAAAACAACAACAAAAAGAAAGAAAAGAAAACCUUUGUUAGGCUUUACAAGCCCAAGUUCUACAUUAGAUUUACUUAACAGCUUUAAUGAAAAAAGAAAAACUACUAAAUUAGCCACAUACUGAUCUGUUGUGUAACAGAUUCCUCAGAGAUUGAAACAUUCCAUCUUGCAGGGAAACUCCUUAGGGGUCACUCUUGCUGGGCUGGGCUUUGGUGAGACAGCUGUCUUUGAGUCAUUUCUGCUCCUGUAACUAACCCCUCACCCAUAUUUCUGUAAGUAACCCCAAUAAAGUUCAUGGUUCACCAACUUGGA
ensembl:lncRNA